rnacentral:rRNA from 1 species
CAGCCGCCACGGGAAUACGAAGGGGGCUAGCGUUGUUCGGAUUUACUGGGCGUAAAGGGUGCGUAGGCGGAUUGUUAAGUCAGGGGUGAAAUCCCGAGGCUCAACCUCGGAACUGCCUUUGAUACUGGCGGUCUUGAGUCCGGGAGAGGUGAGUGGAACUGCGAGUGUAGAGGUGAAAUUCGUAGAUAUUCGCAAGAACACCGGUGGCGAAGGCGGCUCACUGGCCCGGAACUGACGCUGAGGCACGAAAGCGUGGGGAGCAAACAGGAUUAGAUACCCCUGUAGUCCCUGUCACUUAUAA